rnacentral:rRNA from 1 species
UACGUAGGUGACAAGCGUUGUCCGGAUUUACUGGGCGUAAAGAGCGCGCAGGCGGUCGGUCAAGUCGAGUGUGAAAGCCCCCGGCUCAACUGCGGAGGGUCAUUCGAUACUGAUCGACUCGAAGGCAGGAGAGGGUAGUGGAAUUCCCGGUGUAGUGGUGAAAUGCGUAGAUAUCGGGAGGAACACCAGUGGCGAAGGCGACUACCUGGCCUGUUCUUGACGCUGAGGCGCGAAAGCUAGGGGAGCAAACGGG